GAAGAGGAAAUGAGGGCUUAGUCCGGGAAGGCCUCCUGGAGGAGAUGGGCCUUCAAUAAAGCUGUGAAGGCGGGGAGAGUGAUCUUCUGUCGGCUUUGAAGAGGGAGGACUUUCCAGGCCCGUGGCGGGACGUGGGCGAGAGGUCGGCAGCGAGAUAGACGAGAUGGAAAUAAGUGAGUAGGGUGGGCAUGAGAGGAGCGAAGUGUGCGGGCUGGGUUGGAGCAGGAGAGGGGAGGUAGACGGGGGCGAGGCGAUCGACCGCUUUAAAGCUGCCGGUGAGGAGUUCGACGCGGAGGUGGAUGGGCAACCACUAGAGGUUCUUGAGGCGUGGGGAAACAGAAAAGAGAUCCGGGCGGCAGCGUGAAGAACGGUCUGGGGUGGGAAGAGACAGCACUUAGGUCCAUAUCUGUAAUUUCCUUUCAUGCCUGUCUCCCCCUCUUGACUGCAGGCUCCCUGCGGACAGGGAACGUGUCUACCACUCUGUUACACUGUGCUCUCCCAAGCACUCGUAAAGUACUCUGCACGCAGUACGUGCUCCGUAAAUACCCUGGAUUGUACUGAGCGCUGCACAGCAAGCGCUCAGUAAAUACCCUCCAUUCCCGCCCGGACCGGGCCGGGGACACUUGCUUUCCUGCCCCCACCCGGGACGCCUGUGGUCCCGAGGCCCUCGUUCUCUAGGAACGGGGAGGGAUUGCCGUUGUCUGCACCUUUCGGGCCCGGGAGAGAGGUCUGGGUUCUUUGUGAGGUUCAGAGCCUUAAUUCAAGCGCUCAGUACAGCGCUCUACACACGGUGAGGGCUCAGUAAAUACCACUGAUCGAUUUGCUCAACGCUUUUCUUUUCGCUCUGGACAGAAACCAGUUAGGGCUGAGAUCCAGUCCCGUCAUCUGAAACAACCCCUCCCCUCCCUCCCCCUUCCUCCCCUCCUCCCCUCUGCCUCUCAUCCCUGAACAGAAGCCAUCCAAAUGGCCAGAGGAGCCCUGGCUGUAGCCAGCGGAGACGGCGUAGUGGGGGCCGGGCGAGGGGCAGGGCUUGAGGCGCGUGGCCGUCCGGAAGGGUGCUGGUGGCUGGCGCACUCAUUCUGAGGGCACGGGGUCGUGGCUACCUACCCUUUAGUGCCCUCCCAGGUACGCGGUACAGCGAUCUGCGGACACUCGGCGCUCAGUAAAUCCUACUGGCCAACCGUGGGCCGGCUGGGCUCCUUUACUCGGGCACCACCGCCGGACUGCCCGGCCACAAG
rnacentral:lncRNA from 1 species